GUUCAACAGAGAUCCUCUUUUCCAGCAAUUUGGAUUGCCUGUUCCAUUGAAAAGGCCCGUGAUGACAGCAGAACCCUCAAUAUUGGUUCGACAGUUAAGGCCACAGGACUUGUUCUUGAUAUUUGCUUCAGAUGGUCUUUGGGAGCAAUUGAGCGAUGAAACAGUUGUAGACCCGCGAGCUGGGAUAGCAAGGCGAUUAAUAAGGGCUGCCCUGCGGGAGGCUGCAAGGAAAAGAGAAAUGAGAUAUGACGACAUAAAAAGAAUUGAAAAAGGAGUGAGGCGCCAUUUCCACGAUGAUAUUACCGUCAUUUUGUACCUGGAUCAUCCGCUAGGUCCUUCGAAUGGAAGAUUCAAAGAUCACAGUGUUGUUGAAUGCACAAGUGCCCCUGCUGAUAUCUUCUCACUAGAUGUAGUAGAUGAAGGCCAAUGUUAGCUUCAUAUUUCUCUCUGAACAAAGACUACAG
rnacentral:misc_RNA from 1 species